ACAGCAGCAGCCACGGUAAUACGAAGGGGGCUAGCGUUGCUCGGAAUGACUGGGCGUAAAGGGCGCGUAGGCGGCGAUCAAAGUCAGGCGUGAAAUUCCUGGGCCCAACCUGGGGGCUGCGCUUGAUACUUGGUUGCUUGAGUGGGGAAGAGGGUCGUGGAAUUCCCAGUGUAGAGGUGAAAUUCGUAGAUAUUGGGAAGAACACCGGUGGCGAAGGCGGCUCACUGGACCAUUUCUGACGCUGAUGCACGAAAGCUAGGGGAGCAAACAGGAUUAGAUACCCCUGUAGUCCCUGUCUCUUAUAU
rnacentral:rRNA from 1 species